CCAAACCAAUACCGGAGGACAGGCAAUCGAGCCUGUGGGGAUUUACCUGCUCAGGCAGGCGGCUGCAUUCGUGCAUCACCGUGCCCGUCAUACCUCAUCCGCGCAUCUUCCGGCGCUCUGGUAUCUAUCG
rnacentral:ncRNA from 1 species